AGAGUUUGAUCCUGGCUCAGAAUGAACGCUGGCGGCGUGCUUAACACAUGCAAGUCGUACGAGAACUCCUGUGCUUGCACAGGAUAGUAAAGUGGCGCACGGGUGAGUAUCGCGUGGGUAAUCUACCUUAUGGUCUGGGAUAACAUUGCGAAAGCGGUGCUAAUACCAGAUAAUAUCUUUUGUUUCCCGGAACUUGGGAUCAAAGGUGGCCUCUACAUGUAAGCUACCGCCUAAAGAGGAGCCCGCGUACCAUUAGCUUGUUGGUGGGGUAAUGGCCUACCAAGGCUACGAUGGUUAGCUGGUCUGAGAGGAUGAUCAGCCACACUGGAACUGACACACGGUCCAGACUCCUACGGGAGGCAGCAGUGAGGAAUCUUGCGCAAUGGGGGAAACCCUGACUCAGCAACGCCGCGUGAGUGAUGAAGGCUUUCGGGUCGUAAAGCUCUGUCAAGUGGGAAGAACCUAUCCCAUAUUAAUACCAUGGGGUACUGACGGUACCACUGAAGGAAGCACCGGCUAACUCCGUGCCAGCAGCCGCGGUAAUACGGAGGGUGCGAGCGUUAUUCGGAUUUAUUGGGCGUAAAGGGCGCGUAGGCGGCCUUUUAAGUCAGAUGUGAAAGCCCGGGGCUCAACCCCGGAAGUGCAUUUGAAACUGGAAGGCUUGAGUAUGGGAGAGGGAAGUGGAAUUCCUGGUGUAGAGGUGAAAUUCGUAGAUAUCAGGAGGAACACCGGCGGCGAAGGCGACUUCCUGGACCAAUACUGACGCUGAUGCGCGAAGGCGUGGGUAGCAAACAGGAUUAGAUACCCUGGUAGUCCACGCAGUAAACGUUGAUCACUAGGUGUAGCGGGUAUUGACCCCUGCUGUGCCGCAGCUAACGCAUUAAGUGAUCCGCCUGGGGAGUACGACCGCAAGGUUAAAACUCAAAGGAAUUGACGGGGGCCCGCACAAGCGUGGAGCAUGUGGUUAAUUCGACGCAACGCGAAGAACCUUACCUAGGUUUGACAUCCCGGGAAAGCCCUUGAAAGAGGGAAGUGCCCUUCGGGGAACCCGGUGACAGGUGCUGCAUGGCUGUCGUCAGCUCGUGUCGUGAGAUGUUUGGUUAAGUCCAGCAACGAGCGCAACCCCUAUGUUUAGUUGCCAUCAUUUAGUUGGGCACUCUAAAUAGACUGCUCCGGUUAACGGGGAGGAAGGUGGGGAUGACGUCAAGUCCUCAUGGCCUUUAUGCCUAGGGCUACACACGUGCUACAAUGGGCGGUACAAAGGGUUGCCAACCCGCGAGGGUGCGCCAAUCCCAAAAAACCGUUCUCAGUUCGAAUUGGAGUCUGCAACUCGACUCCAUGAAGUUGGAAUCGCUAGUAAUCGUGGAUCAGCAUGCCACGGUGAAUACGUUCCCGGGCCUUGUACACACCGCCCGUCACACCAUGAGAGUUGGCUGUACCAGAAGUAGUUGGGCCAACCCCUUCGGGGGAGGCAGGCUCCUAAGGUAUGGCUGAUGAUUGGGGUGAAGUCGUAACAAGGUA
rnacentral:rRNA from 1 species